GACGAACGCUGGCGGUGUGCUUAACACAUGCAAGUCGAACGAAGUGGCGAACGGGUGAGUAACGCGUAAUCAACCUGCCCUUCAGAGGGGGACAACAGUUGGAAACGACUGCUAAUACCGCAUACUGAAGGUGGGGAUUGCGUCUGAUUAGCUAGUUGGCGGGGUAACGGCCCACCAAGGCGAUGAUCAGUAGCCGGUCUGAGGGGAUUAACGGCCACAUUGGGACUGGGACACGGCCCAGGCUCCUACGGGAGGCAGCAGUGGGGAAUCUUCCGAAAUGGGCGAAAGUCUGACGGAGCAACGCCGCGUGAGUGAUGACGGCCUUCGGGUUGUAAAGCUCUGUUAAGCGGGACGCGGUACCGGAAUAGAAAGCCACGGCUAACGACGUGCCAGCCGCCGCGGUAAUAC
rnacentral:rRNA from 1 species